UUUAUUUAUUUAUUUAUUUUUUUUUAAUUAAGCAAUAAAAUAUAACUGUGUUUUAAUAGUAGUAUUAGUUUAAAUUAGAUAUUCAAUCAUUGUAUAACUGUCUAUAUGUACAUACAUAUAUACAUAUAUAUAAAUAUAUAAAUAUAUAUAUAUACAUAUUUUUAUCAAAUUUGAACAAUGUGUCUUUGUAGAUUAGUGAAAAAGACGUUGGUGCUAGCGAUUUUUAUAAUCAUAUUAGCUAUAGUGGCAACAGUUUUAUUAAUUUUGCAUUUUACACAAAGCUCUGGCAGUCAUCAUCCGUUGUCGAUUUCGAUUUAUUCAUAUGAGGUAUUAAACAAGUAUGAUCACGUUCAUGUUGUAGACCAAUUAGAAUAUCCGAAUUAUGAAUAUAAUCAACAAAAUAAAAACUUAUUAAAUCACCCCUUUACUCAGGGGUUAUUAUUUUUAGAUGAUGAAAAAUUAUUAGAGUCCUCUGGUUUAUAUGGAAGUAGUUAUUUACGAAAAUUUAAUUUAAAAACUGGUAAGACAAUAAAUUUUAAGAAUUUGCAUAAAGAAUUUUUUGCUGAAGGUACUACAUUAAUAAUUGAACCCAAAACAUACAGAAAACUUAUAUUAGUAUUGACAUAUAAAGAAAAGUCAAUACUUGUUUAUGACUAUGAAAAUUUAGAAUUAUUAAAAACUCUUGCAUAUGAAUUUAAUGGUUAUGGUUUAACAUCUAAUGUAGAUAAUGAAAUAUCAUCAGGAGAUUUAAAAAAUAGUAAUUUCAUUAAGCACCAAAAAUUAUGGAGUACGAGUGGCGAUGAAUUCUUAUAUGAACUUGAAAUACCUGAAAGUUUUAUUGAAGCAGAAAAAAUAACUGUUAAAAACAAAAUGGAACUUACUUGUGCAGGAUAUAUAAUUAAACAAGCUAACGAAUUAGAAUAUCAUCAUCGCACCAAAACAGUUUAUGUUAAUGUAUUUUUAACGUCUUUAAUAAUUGAGUUUAACGUAAUAAAAGGAGAAUGUAUUAAAAUAAUAAAUUUGAGUGGUCUAGCCAAGCAAAAUGUUAACUACGAAAAAAAUAUUAGCACAUCAGACUUCGUUUUAAAUGGUGUAGCAAUUAAACCUGGAGAAUCCUCAAAAGAAGUGCCCAACUUAUUAGUGACAGGAAAAUAUUGGUCUAAUCUCUUUGAAAUUAAACUAGUAAAAUCUAUUGAUGGAUUAUCUGCGGCAAAGGUGUUGAGCCAAUAUUUAACUACUUUUAAUAGUAUACACAAAUAAUCU
rnacentral:lncRNA from 1 species